GACGAACGCUGGCGGCGUGCCUAAUACAUGCAAGUCGAACGCAGGGGGGACGGGUGAGUAACACGUGGGUAACCUCCCAUCAGAGGGGAUAACACUUGGAAAAAGGUGCUAAACCGAUACUGAUGGAUGAACCCGCGGUGCAUUCGCUUGUUGGUGGUGUAACGGCUCACCAAGGCCACGAUGCAUGGCCGACCUGAGAGGUUGAUCAGCCACACGGGUACGGAGACACGGCCCAGACUCCUACGGGAGGCAUCAGUAGGGAAUCUUCGGCAAUGGACGAAAGUCUGACCGAGCAACGCCGCGUGAGUGAAGAAGGUUUUCGGAUCGUAAAACUCUGUUGUUAGGGAAGCGGUAUCUAACCAGAAAGCCACGGCUAACUACGUGCCAGCAGCCGCGGUAAUAC
rnacentral:rRNA from 1 species